rnacentral:tRNA from 1 species
GGGGAUGUAGCUCAGUGGUAGAGCACAUUCUUCACUUGUGUCCUGGGUUCAAUCCCCAGCAUCUCCA